GCCUGUCUAAUACAUGAUGGAUCACAGUGACCUUUCGAAAAGCUCUUGUGUGUGCGUAUGUUUUUGCGUGUUUGAAGUAAAUUAAUUGCGUUAUAAGUUAUAAAUUGCUUCAGACUAUAUGAUCAAGAUGAUUAAAAAAGCGGCGACUUAUAUACCGGAAAAUACGGUAAUCAAAGCAUGUCCAUAACAACCAUAAAUUGCUACAGUUAUAAUGAUGCAAACUUUAAUUCUCUACAAAAUGUAAUUGAAAUUUGAUUAUGAAGUGGAGCAUACUGUUGCAGGCAGCAUGUUUCAUCAGCUGUCACUGCUCUUUUGAGCAUAACAGCCAGUUUAUUUUAAUGGAAUAAUUUACUGUUGUGUUAGUGUUCUAGGCCAGAUCUGAACAUUUAUGAAUGACUUCAUGGAGGCAGAGGGUGUAGUGGAUGAGGGUGGCCCUACACGAGAGUUUUUCUGACUGCUCUCAAGGACAGCACCCUAUUUACAGGGCCACAGAACAGUAAGAACCUGUCCCUGGAUGGCCAUGGUUAGUAUCCACACAUGGCACUUGUCCAACUCACUCAUUUUAACAUAUUGAAAUUGUAACCACCAAAUGCCUUAUUCUGCAGAAAUCUGUUCUGUUUUUCAACAUUUCAAUUUUUGCAGCAUUAUACAGGAGGUCUGUACAGAACAUAUGGAGUACUGAUAGCUGUGGCACUGGUGCAUGGAGGAGUGUUACAUUUUUUUGAGAGGCUCUACCAAAACCUGUGCUCAACAACUACAUCACCAACUCUCAGAAGUAGCAGAUCUGGAUUUGCAGUGGAAACACAAAGGCGUAUCAGUUUUGUCGAUCAGUUCCUUAUUUCAUUUCUUAAUUUUUUUCAAGCAAAUGGUGAAAGUAUCACAAAGGCCUGCUUCUACUAAUAAACUGUGCAUAAUGUCAAAGAUCAUUGAGGCAGGUGGUAUUACAGCAGCUAGAGCUGCCAUUGAGGAAGCUGCAGUGAGCCGGUCCUUGUUGGGGUCCCUGAGGCACAUCACCAUAGAGGAAUGGGACCAGUUGGUUCAGGCUGCCAAGUUUAUACAUGGAAGGAAGGACAAAAGAAGCCUUACAACAUGCUACAGCAGUUGGACCAAUUUUUUUUCUGAGGAAAAUGCUUGAAAUAGCAUACAGUCAGGAUAUACCAGACUCAGAGAUAACAGUAAGAACCAAACACAAAUUUAUUAGAGGAUUUGGCAGAACAACAGGCAUGCAAAGACAGGGUAAACACAAAUAUAAGUACUGCAGGCUGGUGGAAAACACAGAUAGAGUCACUAAGCAAAUGAAUGAGAGAAAGGAGCACACACUUCAGGUGUCUUGAAGGAGAAUCACUGGAGAAAAAAUAAGGAGCCAUAGGGAACUACCAGUGUCCACAUGUACUCACAGAUAAGAGGUCUAUUCCUAGUUGAGGCCAGACAAAGAGUGAAU